UACGGAGGGUGCGAGCGUUGUCCGGAAUCACUGGGCGUAAAGGGCACGUAGGCGGCCUGAUAAGUAGGGGGUGAAAUCCUGCGGCUUAACCGCAGGGCUGCCCUCUAAACUGUCAGGCUAGAGCACAGUAGAGGCAGGUGGAAUUCCCGGUGUAGCGGUGAAAUGCGUAGAUAUCGUAAGGAAGACCAGUGGCGAAGGCGGGUCUCUGGACAGUUCCUGACGCUGAGGCACGAAGGCCAGGGGAGCAAACGGG
rnacentral:rRNA from 1 species